rnacentral:rRNA from 1 species
UCCUACGGGAGGCAGCAGUGAGGAAUAUUGGUCAAUGGUCGGGAGACCGAACCAGCCAAGCCGCGUGAGGGAGGAAGGUACAGAGUAUCGUAAACCUCUUUUGUCAGGGAACAAAGGCGGGGACGUGUCCCCGGAUGAGUGUACCUGAAGAAAAAGCAUCGGCUAACUCCGUGCCAGCAGCCGCGGUAAUACGGAGGAUGCGAGCGUUCUCCGGAUUUAUUGGGUUUAAAGGGUGCGCAGGCGGUCUGUUAAGUCAGCGGUCAAAGCCCGGGGCUCAACCCCGGCCCGCCGUUGAAACUGGCAGG